UUAUUUCUAUUGACUUAAAGAGCUUCCAUUGGUGGCUGCUUUGUGACAGAAGAAAAUGAAUUGGUGGGUCCCUCUGAAAUCCCUCUGGGCUGGUCCAGAUGCUGUAGGCUGACUGGUAGCUCCAGCACACAGGGUUGAACAACCUGCAGCCAGACGAGCUCCGGAGGUGGCUGGAGGUCAGCAGAGGGAUCACAUAGCCAAGAGCAGAGUGGGUUACAGGAGAAGGGCAGAGGGAAAAGGUGAGUGCUUUCUGGCAAUAAUCAGCUUUUAGCUGAAGUCAGCCAGUUUUAACUUA
rnacentral:lncRNA from 1 species